GGUCUAAAUCCUUUGGCGGGUCUGAAAUUAGUCCCAGACCCGUGUCCAUUGACAGCCUUACAUAUAGCUGAGCUUACCUGAAAUUAAAUUCAUGCAUUGAUUGUUAUAACUUGAUGACAGAAAUAAAAUGCUUGUAUUUAAAUAUAUACAGGACGCUUCUAGUGAGAUCCCCUAAAUGCGCACUAUGUGCGAUCCUAAUCUCAGCCGUUCAAAUCGUUUGUUUUAAUUUGGACCAUUCGUUGAAAAAAUCUGACAUUGCGUGUACUAUUUGAUGGCCAUACUGACAUUGUUGAAAAAAUCUGACAUUGCGUUGAAAAAAUCGUUUGUUUUAAUUAAAAAAAUCUGACAUUGUUUUAAUUUGAACUGAUCCUCUUUUUAUGUCAGAACAUGCUGCUGAUUGUGAUUCGACAUUGGUUGUGUAUAUGGGUUUAUCAACACUUCCAUCUCUUACUCCAAAGUUGAUAUCACAUGGUCUUUCGCCUGAAACCCCAUCAGUAGCAAUCGAACGAGGAACCACACCUCAACAACGUGUUGUACGUAAGAGACUUCCAAAAUAUCGUAAUCCCUCUCUAAUUGUCUACCUAAAUUCCAUAUGGAGAUUGAUUGUUUUUCUUUACAGAUAUUUGCUGAGCUAAAGAAUUUAGUCGAUGACGUAAAAUCUGCAGCACUUGUAUCACCGACGUUAAUCAUCAUUGGAAAAGUAGUUGCACUCUCUCCAUUCUGGCCUCAACUCACCGAAACUUCAGAAACUGUACAAGCUUUACCUACCUUGUGAUAUUGCACAUUUUAAUUAAUCACUAUUCCUUUUCUUUUUUUAAACAAUAAUUCUGAUUUUGAACCUUCUAGCUGAAAGUUUGUUCACAAUUCUUUUGCUUCAGUCGAUUUCUCUUCCGGACAGUCGUCGGAGUUUCGUGGACUAUUCACUAUUCAAUUUGCAAUUCGCUAACUAAUUUGCUAAACGAUCCUACUAUGCACUAUGUAAUAUGCACUAUUAACUUUGCACUACGUACUAUCCUAUUAUGCACUAUGUACAAUACACUUUUGGGAAGUGGCAAUUGUGCAAUGCAGUAUGUACAAUGGUACAAUUGUGCAAUGCAGUAUGCACUAUGUACUAUGCACUAUUAACUUUGCACUACGUACUAUCCUACUAUGCACUAUGUACUAUGCACUUUUGGGAAGUGACAAUUGUGCAAUGCAGUAUGUUCACUGAGAUCGAAAAGUACUAUUUACUUUAAACUAUGUCCUAUGAACUAUGUACUGUGCGUAGUGCACUAUGUACUGUUCAAUGUGAAAGAGAUUAAAGAUGAAUGUACGAAAUAGUGCAAACCCAAUUCAUGAAAAAACGAAAAGGUGAAAGGAACGAGUGGUAAAAAAACCAAACAACAAACCCGAGCAUAUAUUAGAGGAGAUCCGAUGACCAUUUUUUUUAGAGGAUAAAUAGAAGAAUGAAAAUGGAAAAAGACACUAGAGGUAAGGAAAGGGAGGAAAUAGGGUUUGAGAAGGGGAUGAAGGAAGGGGAAGAAACGUUAGUGAGAGAAAAGUGAAAAAAAAAGUGAGGAAGUAGGUGGAAAGUAGGAGAGAGAAGUAAAUGUGAAUGGUGGAAAAAUACCUUGGACAAAGGGAUGUACUAGGUGAAUAAUGACAAAAGAAUAUAAUGCAUUGAGAUCUUCCCCCAAAAAAUAUAAAUAAUGAAAUUUAUUAAUGACCAUUGGAUGUAGAUGAAGGGCAUGGAUUUAAAGUUCUUACCGGGUUCUCACAGAUCAGGUUCUCACCUGAAGCUGGCCUUAAAUAUAUAUACUAGUAAAUGCUAGCUUAUAGCAGUUGGUUGAAAAAUAAAGACAAUAAUGAAUAAUAAAAUAAUUAUAAUAGAAAGUUACAGUGAUGAUGCAAUUCAGAUGUCUGGCUUCAGUGAUGUAACUUGAGUGAAGACAAGAACAACAGGAGUAGACAGAGAUGCAAAAUCGUUUGGAAUAGUUGAGCAGUAGUGGAAGAUGGAUUCACGUGAUGAAGCAGCAAUGAUUCUCAACUCUUGAAUUGAAGUAAAAUAUAAGCCAGUCACUUCCAACCCUGGAUUGCCUUUAGUAUUUAUAUUGAGCCUGCAACGGUUGAGAAUGUAGAUAAUCUCCUGGGUGCUAGUGCCCAAGAGUUUUCUGACACGUCAAUGAGUUACGUGAAUUAUAUUUAUGGAGGUAACGAAGAAGAGUUAGAUCCAGUCAAAGAUAACAAACACUCCAUUGAGUGCUAUUUUCUAUUUUCUCGUGAAAAGCCAUGAGUUUGAUUCCUUCCAUAAACACAAAAUCCGGGUUUCAAGGCAAAUCAACUGUCAAUGCGAGUAGGAGCAGUAAGAGGAAGAAUUAGAAUGAUGAUGAUGACUGGGAAGAACAGAAAAGUGAUUGGUGAGACGAAAACAUGCCAUUUACGGAGAGUUUUAAAUUAAGACCCAAGUAUUCCACCAAAUUCAAUAACUUGAUUAAGUAAACCAAAGAUGCUAAUUCUGCUAAAGAUGGAAUAGAUAAUGUUGUUGUUGAUGAUGACGAUGAACCAGAAAAUGACGCUCUGGAUGAAGACAAUGAAGAUGAGAUUUGCUGUAUUGUCACUUAUCGACAUUAGACACGAGAUUUGCUGUAUGUUUAUCUACUUUUAUCACCUU
rnacentral:lncRNA from 1 species